GAAUAUUAUUAGCUGGUGCAAAAGUAAUUGCGAUUUCUACCAUUAAAAGCAAUGACAGAAACCGUAAUAACUUUUGUACCAACCUAAUACUU
rnacentral:miRNA from 10 species